UGCCUGGACCCCCAAGUGCAGACUCCAAAUGAGCCCACAAUAUUUCCCUUAUAUGAUUAGGCCCCGUGGCCGGAGAGGAUUAUGAAAAUGAGGCAGGUGAAGUAGGGCCAGGGAACCAGGCG